CAUGGCGGCAGCUACACAUGCAGUCGAGCGGUAGCACAGAGAGCUUGCUCUCGGGUGACGAGCGGCGGACGGGUGAGUAAUGUCUGGGAAACUGCCUGAUGGAGGGGGAUAACUACUGGAAACGGUAGCUAAUACCGCAUAACGUCGCAAGACCAAAGUGGGGGACCUUCGGGCCUCAUGCCAUCAGAUGUGCCCAGAUGGGAUUAGCUAGUAGGUGGGGUAAUGGCUCACCUAGGCGACGAUCCCUAGCUGGUCUGAGAGGAUGACCAGCCACACUGGAACUGAGACACGGUCCAGACUCCUACGGGAGGCAGCAGUGGGGAAUAUUGCACAAUGGGCGCAAGCCUGAUGCAGCCAUGCCGCGUGUAUGAAGAAGGCCUUCGGGUUGUAAAGUACUUUCAGCGAGGAGGAAGGCGUUAAGGUUAAUAACCUUAGCGAUUGACGUUACUCGCAGAAGAAGCACCGGCUAACUCCGUGCCAGCAGCCGCGGUAAUACGGAGGGUGCAAGCGUUAAUCGGAAUUACUGGGCGUAAAGCGCACGCAGGCGGUCUGUCAAGUCGGAUGUGAAAUCCCCGGGCUCAACCUGGGAACUGCAUUCGAAACUGGCAGGCUAGAGUCUUGUAGAGGGGGGUAGAAUUCCAGGUGUAGCGGUGAAAUGCGUAGAGAUCUGGAGGAAUACCGGUGGCGAAGGCGGCCCCCUGGACAAAGACUGACGCUCAGGUGCGAAAGCGUGGGGAGCAAACAGGAUUAGAUACCCUGGUAGUCCACGCCGUAAACGAUGUCGACUUGGAGGUUGUGCCCUUGAGGCGUGGCUUCCGGAGCUAACGCGUUAAGUCGACCGCCUGGGGAGUACGGCCGCAAGGUUAAAACUCAAAUGAAUUGACGGGGGCCCGCACAAGCGGUGGAGCAUGUGGUUUAAUUCGAUGCAACGCGAAGAACCUUACCUACUCUUGACAUCCAGAGAACUUAGCAGAGAUGCUUUGGUGCCUUCGGGAACUCUGAGACAGGUGCUGCAUGGCUGUCGUCAGCUCGUGUUGUGAAAUGUUGGGUUAAGUCCCGCAACGAGCGCAACCCUUAUCCUUUGUUGCCAGCGGUCCGGCCGGGAACUCAAAGGAGACUGCCAGUGAUAAACUGGAGGAAGGUGGGGAUGACGUCAAGUCAUCAUGGCCCUUACGAGUAGGGCUACACACGUGCUACAAUGGCAUAUACAAAGAGAAGCGACCUCGCGAGAGCAAGCGGACCUCAUAAAGUAUGUCGUAGUCCGGAUUGGAGUCUGCAACUCGACUCCAUGAAGUCGGAAUCGCUAGUAAUCGUAGAUCAGAAUGCUACGGUGAAUACGUUCCCGGGCCUUGUACACACCGCCCGUCACACCAUGGGAGUGGGUUGCAAAAGAAGUAGGUAGCUUAACCUUCGGAGGCGCUACCACUUG
rnacentral:rRNA from 1 species